GUCAGAGAACACACAGUCUUGAAUCUAGCUAACUGCAUUUAGCGGCUUGGACUCUGGAAAAUUAAGUUUUCUCUGCGACUACUGCUCCAGACCACUGUCGAUGCUGACAUUCUCAGCCUGAAGCGAUAUGCUAUGAAUACGACAGGACACACUGGACUUUCAGCGGUAGAAGGAAUGGCGAUAGAAAACGACUUGUUAGAACUUCAACGCACGGACAGUUUGUACAACAGAGAAAAUGAGGCCCUAAGGAAAAAAGGGAAGUUGUAAUUUGUGUACAACUAAUCGGAAAUUUGGCAUUGAACUCCACCAACUACCAGAACAUGACAACCAACCAACAUAUCAGUGCAACACCAAUGUUCAUGGAGGCAAGAGGAAGGAAGGCAGUGAGGAAAAAUUCAUAAAGGGGAGGAAGCAGAGGGGGUUGGCAGUCUCCCUGUGCUUCUUUUCAUCUGUCGGAGCUCAUAUUUAUGAGAGGGAGAAAAGAAAACAUCAACAUCAAAAGGAAAGGUAAAGGAAGUCGGGUUCACAAUCAUCAAUGCAUCAGUGUAGUGAAUGCUCUCAUGGAUUUAAGAAAAUGCAACAAAAAUACUUCAUUAAUUCCACACUCCAGGUCAGGUAAAUGUCAGAGCGAGGGCCGUCAAAGACCUCCCUGAAAGCAGAAAUAAAAUUAGAGCUACGAAACAAAGACUGAUUUUCCUUGUCAUUAUAAUGAACUGGAAUCUAAUCAACAUCAUGGAAUUCACAGUGAGAGAGAAAGCGAAAAAAAAAAGAACGCUAAUGCCGGGAACAGAAUCUGAUCAGUAGUUCUGAAGCUGUUCUAGUACAAACCUGUUACUUUAUUUUAAAAUAAGCUCAAACGGGCUGAACUGCAGCACGGGUUAAGGUAAAAAAAAACAGGAAGUUAUGACCAGUGUUGGUAAAUACAGGACAUCUAGCUCUGUCGCUUUGUCCUCUGCAGGAGGCGCUAUAAUCAUUGUUUAAAUGUCUUUGUAAAAUCCCAAUGUUUUAUUUGCAUCUUUAAUUCUGUAAUCUUCUUAACAUUUUUUUCCCCACAAACUCAAGGAUGCACCAGUUUAAUGAUACGUGGUCUGUUGUGACAACAGUGAGACCAAAAGGAAGUCGAUGGCUCUUUCAGUGAGACGUCUCAUCUUUCGCUCCAUCGGCUGUUUUAAUCACAAACAAGCAGCAUCCAGUCACGUCUCGUUACCAACCCCAGUGAUGAAUGGAGAUUGCCCUGGCAACACGGGCUGUUUACGCCAAAAGCGACUGGGACUCCCUGCUGUGCUGGGUCACUGCAGACUGACUUAUCUGUUACAGACAGGAGAACGUGUGUAUUCUCAAAGCGUCACAGGUCUUGACAUGAGUGAGUCUGAUCUGUGAUGUCAAAGCUGCAGCUUCUUCAUUAGCUGCCAGGGCAGCAGGGCUCUAUGUUUCAUCAAGCAGCUACUGAUGCCUGGCAAUAGGAGGAGAUGCCAGAAGAGACAGAGAUUUGAAACAGGAGGAAGAGAAACAGGUCAGACGAUGGUGACGCAGACACACUGACAGUUCAUGUGAUGAAUGGAUGUAAUACAUGAUCGCAAUCAAUAUAUGAAUGUAACAGGUGUGGAACUUGUAUAUUUACAUUUUAACUCCUAGAGUUCAAUGCUUUUCAGGGUCACAGGAGUUACUGGUGGAGAACAUGGUACAUCCUGGACAGCCCACUGGUCAUCACAGUACCUCAUGGGAAGAUACAGGAACAACCAUUCACACUGACAUUCACACCUUUGGUCAAUUUAGUGAAUGAUUAACCCUAGUCCUCCUUGUUCAAGGAGGUGAGGAGAUGAAGAAGUGAAGCCUCACAGCUGUGGCAGCAGAAUGUAUGCACACUAAGGCAAAAAAUAUCCGUGGAGAAUUUCUGCUGUGAGAGCCGUGAUGAUGAAUAUAAAUAAGUAACUGCCUCUCCAGCUGUGAUAAGACAGCAGAUUCAGAUGAUGCCCCAGUCUAUGGCUGAGGGAGCUGCGGAAAAUCCCCUCAAACCAGCUCCUGCUGUGAUCACUAUCUGAGCUCCCAUCUUUCGGAAUUUUUUUGGCCCCAUUUUCAGUGACAUGCCUGCAGCUGUGCUGCAAAAAUACAUCAGGGACACAGGAGCAGCUCAUGGUGCAUCCGGUGGUUGAUUCAUCCGUAGGUGCAGAGGCAGAAUACUGGGUGACGCAGGAGGGGUUGACACUGAACCGCGUGUUUCCUGUAGCGUCAAAACAAGCUGAAAAUAAUGCCUUUCAGGUCUGAAACUGAGAAAGAAAGACGUCUCCGUCACUUGUUUACUAAAACGCCUCUAAAGGAAUGUUUUGCUCGUAGGAGAAUUGCUUACUUACACAGCCGAGCUCCCACUGAAAAACCACAGUGGGUGGUUAAUGUACUGUACAGGCACAACACAGCAGCAUAUUUUUAUUGUUCACCAGUGAGACAGAAAUGUUCAGUAAUUACAUGGCAGUGACCUCUGCACACAUCUGUUGGCACAAUAGCUGUGGUAUGACAUGAAGUGUUUAAGAAGCAAAGCACACUCUGCAUACACACACACUGUUUACUACAUGAGCUGGGCUUUGGGCAAAAUGACAUUGAAAUACCUGAUCAUUUCCUAUGUAUUUUGCCAUGUUGGCUGUGUUUUUCUGAAAGGGUUUUUGCACUUUAUAUGCUGUAAUAGUUGUCCUGGUUAUUAAGUUAUUUGUAAGUAUAACAGAACUUCGAGUAUUGUUGAAUUUAGUACUUCAAGAUUGACCACAAAAUACUGCAGAACUACCGUUAUGUUAGCGAAGCGUAGCUGAAUAAAAGCUAGAUUAAACCUGGAACUAAACAGAAAUAAAUUGAAGACAGAAUUGUUUAACAGAAAUGUAACAUUUCUCCUCAUUAUCAUAAAUAACAAUUUUGCAAAAGAAUAAUCAAAUCAAAUAUUUAACAAACAUUAUUGUAGAUAUAGUUAUGUUUGUCACUAAGCGUAUACUUGGCUACAGGUCAGUCUAGCCAUAGUUAAGCUCGUAAAAGAAAAAUCAAUUUUUUUUUAACUGAUGUUAAGAAUGAAGCAAAAUUAUUUUACACACUCUUCAUUCAUAUUUUAAUAUUUAUUAAAAUGUAAUAUUUCACAAUUUCCUGGUUUACUUUGUUCUCUCAACCAAGGCUCUUCACUUCCUUUGUUUACCUGCCCUUUUUUGUCACCUGAUCCUCUUUCAUUACUUUCUGCUGUGUGUCAUUUACUCAGCCACUUUUCACAAAACAUUAUUUGUAAUCGUUUGUUGUUACUGUUUCUGACAUUUCUAGUUUUCUCUUUUUUCCUCUGUAUCUUCCGCUGUAUCUAUGUC